rnacentral:rRNA from 1 species
GUCCGUUUGAAGGUGUAAAUGGUCUGGCCUGCUCACUGAUAAAAUUAUUUAAGAGCCGCGGUAUAUUGACCGUGCAAAGGUAGCAUAAUCAUUAGGGGUUUAAUUGGAACCUAGUAUGAAUGGUCGGACAAAGGAAAAACUGUCUUUAUAGAUUAAAUCAAAAUUUACCUUUAAGUGAAAAGGCUUAAAUAAAUCAAAGGGACGAUAAGACCCUAUAAAGCUUUAUAGAUAAUCUAAAUUUGAUUAAAUUAAAGCUAUAAAGAUUAAGUAUGGAUAUUUUAUUUUGUUGGGGUGAUAUGAGUAUAAUUGUUAUUAACUGCUUAAGAAAAAAACUUAUGUAGAAGAGUCAAUACAUAAAUGAUCCUUUUUAAAGAUUAAAAGACUAAGUUACUUUAGGGAUAACAGCGUUAUUUCUUUUGAGAGUUCAUAUCGAAAAAGAAGAUUGCGACCUCGAUGUUGAAUUAAAAUAUCUAUAUAAUGCAGCCGUUAUAAAAGAGGGUCUGUUCGACCUUUAAAUUUUU